AUCUACAGCCAUACCACCCUGAAAGUGCCCAAUCUUGUCUGAUCUUGGAAGUUAAGCAGGGUCAGGCCUCAUUAGUACUUGGAUGGGAGAAAAUAAUUCUACAGUCU
ensembl:rRNA 5S_rRNA 5S ribosomal RNA